GACAGAGGAGCCAAGCGUUGUCCGGAUUGACUGGGCGUAAAGCGCACGCAGGCGGAUGCGCGCGUGGGGUGUGAAAUCUGGCCGCUUAACGGCCAGGCGCCAUCCCAUACGGCGCGUCUGGAGUGAUGCAGAGGUCGAUGGAAUUGCCGGUGUAGUGGUGAAAUGCGUAGAGAUCGGCAGGAACACCCAGGGGGAAACCAGUCGACUGGGCAUCUACUGACGCUGAGGUGCGAGAGCGUGGGGAGCGAACAGG
rnacentral:rRNA from 1 species